ACGGCUCAGUAACACGUGGACAAUCUGCCCUAAAGAAGAGAAUAAUCCCGGGAAACUGGGGGUAAUGCUCUAUAGUCCGGGAUAACUGGAAUGUUAUCCGGAUGAAAGAUCCGUCGCUUUAGGAUGAGUCUGCGGCCGAUUAGGUAGUUGUUGGGGUAAAAGCCCAACAAGCCUGUAAUCGGUACGGGUUGUGGGAGCAAGAGCCCGGAGAUGGAUUCUGAGACACGAAUCCAGGCCCUACGGGGCGCAGCAGGCGCGAAAACUUUACAAUGCGGGCAACCGUGAUAAGGAAACCCCGAGUGCCAGCACAGGCUGGCUGUCCACCAGUGUAAAGAACUGGUGAAGAAAGGGCCGGGCAAGACCGGUGCCAGCCGCCGCGGUAAUACCGGCGGCUCGAGUGGUGGCCGCUUUUACUGGGCUUAAAGGGUCCGUAGCUGGAUUCACAAGUCCCUUGAGAAAUCUAUCGGCUUAACUGAUAGGCGUUCAGGGGAUACUGUGGUUCUAGGGACCGGGAGAGGUGAGAGGUACUGCCGGGGUAGGAGUGAAAUCCUGUAAUCCCGGUGGGACGACCUAUGGCGAAGGCAUCUCACCAGAACGGCUCCGACAGUGAGGGACGAAAGCUGGGGGAGCAAACCGGAUUAGAUACCCGGGUAGUCCCAGCUGUAAACGAUGCGCGUUAGGUGUGUCAGUGACCACGUGUCACUGAGGUGCCGAAGGGAAACCGUGAAACGCGCCGCCUGGGGAGUACGGUCGCAAGGCUGAAACUUAAAGGAAUUGGCGGGGGAGCAC
rnacentral:rRNA from 1 species